rfam:Gossypium raimondii Chr10_contig_1341, whole genome shotgun sequence.
UAUUAAAAUUUUGAUACCUUUAUCUUGUUAAAAACUUGUGUGGCUAACAAAAUAACCAUACAAUAACAUGUGACGUAUCACAUGUACCUCAUGGUGAUGUAUAAAGAUUCGUUUUUAACAGUAGAAAUACAUAAAAAUUUUAAAA